AGAACGAACGCUGGCGGCAUGCCUAACACAUGCAAGUCGAACGUGAUCCAGGCUUCGGCCUGGUGAAAGUGGCAGACGGGUGAGUAACGCGUGGGAACCUGCCCUGUGGUGGGGAAUAACCGUGGGAAACUGCGGCUAAUACCCUAUGAGUCCUUCGGGAGAAAGAUUUAUCGCCAUAGGAGGGGCCCGCGUCGGAUUAGGUAGUUGGUGGGGUAACGGCCUACCAAGCCUUCGAUCCGUAGCUGGUCUGAGAGGAUGAUCAGCCACACUGGGACUGAGAUACGGCCCAGACUCCUACGGGAGGCAGCAGUGGGAAUAUUGGACAAUGGGGGCAACCCUGAUCCAGCAAUGCCGCGUGGAUGAUGAAGGCCUUCGGGUUGUAAAGUCCGUUUCGGCGGGGAAGAUGAUGACGGUACCGCGGAAGACGCCCGGCUAACUUCGUGCCAGCAGCCGC
rnacentral:rRNA from 1 species